CGCUUCAACUUCAAAUAGGUGUCAAAACAGUGCCAGUCACCAUCUCACACCUACAAGAUUUGUAGUGACAGACUUGGACAUUUUCAGUUCUUUCCACAGUUGAAACAUUUACUUUCAGUCUGCACUGAGGAUAUAUAGGAAGAGGUAACCGCAGAUUUCACUUUUGCGCUCAGAUUGUUCUUCCCGUCGCUCUCAGCAUGGCUUCAACAACCUGCACCAGGUUUACCGACGAAUAUCAGCUGUAUGAAGAACUGGGAAAAGGAGCCUUUUCUGUGGUGAGAAGAUGUUUGAAAAUCUCUACUGGUCAGGAAUAUGCUGC